rnacentral:rRNA from 1 species
CCCUUAGAUGUUCUGGGCCGCACGCGCGCUACACUGAUGCAUUCAACGAGCCUAUCCUUGACCGACAGGUCCGGGUAAUCUUUGAAUCUGCAUCGUGACGGGGAUAGAUUAUUGCAAUUAUUAAUCUUCAACGAGGAAUGCCUAGUAGGCGCAAGUCAUCAGCUUGCGUCGAUUACGUCCCUGCCCUUUGUACACACCGCCCGUCGCUCCUACCGAUUGGGUGUGCUGGUGAAAUGUUCGGAUCGGCCGUUUGUCGCGGUUUCCGCGUCAUGUGGCUGAGAAGUUCAUUAAACCCUCCCACCGAGAGGAAGGUGAAGUCGUAACA